GAUGAAGAACGUAGCGAACUGCGAUAAGUAAUGUGAAUUGCAGAAUUCAGUGAAUCAUCGAGUCUUUGAACGCACAUUGCGCCCCCUGGCAUUCCGGGGGGCAUGCCUGUCCGAGCGUCUUUGCUGCCCUUCAAGCCCGGCUUGUGUGUUGGGUCGUCGUCCCCCCCGGGGGACGGGCCCGAAAGGCAGCGGCGGCACCGCGUCCGGUCCUCGAGCGUAUGGGGCUUUGUCACCCGCUCGAUUAGGGCCGGCCGGGCGCCAGCCGGCGUCUCCAACCUUUUAUUUUACCAGGUUGACCUCGGAUCAGGUAGGGAUACCCGCUGAACUUAAGCAUAUCAAUAAGCGGAGGA
rnacentral:misc_RNA from 1 species